rnacentral:tRNA from 1 species
GGGGCCAUAGCAUAAUUGGGAAUGCAUCAGCUUUGCAAGCUGACGACUGUGGGUUCGAGUCCCACUGGCUCCA